rnacentral:tRNA from 1 species
GCCCGGUUAGCUCAGUCAGUAGAGCGCAAGGCUCUUAACCUUGUGGUCGUGGGUUCGAGCCCCACAUUGGGCG